rnacentral:sRNA from 1 species
AAAUUUAAUGAUGAUAUUUGCAGCCAUGGUUCGAAAUCUCCAUUGACUCGAGAUAUUUCUUUCUUAGGAAAAGAGAAUUAUGCUAAGCAGGGAGAAGUCUUGGAGUAUAAAGGGGCAACGAUGAAAGAAUACAAUUGCCAACGUCUUCCAAGGCAUGAAGAGAAGCUCGACAAUCACACCUUGUUAUAUCGAGGGCCUAAAGCCUCACGUCAAGCAAAACCGAGACACAAGUUCUUUCACACAAAUCCCCGAGUAGUACAGGAAGUGCUUCAAGAAGUGACGCAGAGAACAUCAAUGUGGGGUAAACCAUAUCCCCGUGAUAGACGUGAUUACCUAGCUGAGAGAGAUUCAAGGAUCAGUAAUCUAAGGGGAGGCGAGCUGAGUAAAAAUUUUGAUCCACAUGGAACGAAAUGACACUGCAGUUGAAGCGUGACUAUAGAUACUAAAAACUUUAUUUUAAUUUAUGAUAACUGUUUGUACUUAAAAACAUGGUUUGACAAAGACAUGUCAAUGGAAAUUAAUCUCGGGUAAAUCCUUUAGCAUGGAGUUUGUGAACAUUAAUUGUCGAAUACAUCCAACCAAAGUGGUGUAGUUGUAUACACCCUGUUGAAACGUUUUAUCCGCGUUUUCUCAUAACCUUUUAUUUGUUUGAAGCUUUUACUUAAAGUUGUUCAUUAAUCUUAUCGUUUUCUCUAUGUGCAACUGUCGAUGGGAGUGCAUUUAUGGCUCAAGAUUUGUGCAUUCUAAACACAGCAGGGCCAAAGAAGCGGCAGGCCGUGGCUCUCCGUAUUAGCGCUGAUGCGACGGUCGUUUAUCGUUGCAGAAUCAAUGCCUAUCAAGACACCCUUUGUUGCUCUGUUUCGUGAAGUUAUAAGAUUAAUAUGUUUUUUAAAAAUUUUAAGUGUCAUAAGUUACUGUUUGAUUAUAAAAAUAUCGUGAUGUGGCAUAGCAUAUUGGAAUAUACAGCUCUAUUAAAACCAUAUAUUGAAUAACACUUUGGUUUUAGUCCAUCGUUCUACACAACUUAGGGCAUUACAGUAGAAGAACAUAUUUUUAUAAAAAGGUUUUAAGUUUCCUAUGUUUUUAAAAAAACAAUUAUAGGCCUUUUUUAUGUAUUUAUAUUUGUUAAGCUUUUCAUUCACUAUUUUUCUUUAACCUUUUU